rnacentral:lncRNA from 1 species
GAGAGACCACUACAUAAAAUAAAAACUCAUUUAGCCAAAAUCCAAUUACUUGUGAUCUUAAAAUACCAGAAUAAUUGUUCCCAGGUUCAAAUCAGAAGAAGAAGCAACAAUGAAACCUACAUAUAUAUUCAGAAACUAACCUUCAGGGUUUCAGUCCAGAUGGAAUGCAAUUGCCCAGACUUUCCUGAUAUACAAUUUUAGUACUUAUAUAGUGAUAAGGGAUGCUCAGAAUUUUAAACUGUAGAACUUGGAAAUACUGUCAGUUAUCAAUUUUUAAGUUCACCAGACUAGAGUUAUUAAAUCUAGAAGAUGGACCCAAACAUUAUAAUGUUUAAUUCAUUUUCAUUAUUUAAAAGAGAAGGGCCCCUUGUUAGAUAAAUUCUCCCAGAUGGAAAACCCCUUCACUAGAUUGUAAACCCCUCAAGGGCAGCGAUGAUAAAUGAUUCAGCUCCAUAUUCCUACACUACCUGGCACUGUUUCUCACAUUCUGGGCUGCUUAGUAAAUAUUGGAUAUAAAUGAAUAAGUGAAUGAAUAAAUAAACAGAUUUUUCUUGGGAUCAGCUUUCCCCAUGUGUCCUGUCCCAUAGUGCCUUUGCCUUUAAGGAUUUAUCUGAGAAUUUUGCUCCCUGACGAAAGGGAGACCAGUGAUGUGUAAGGUACCCCAGGUUUGGGCCAUUGUACACACUUUUCAGAGCUAAUCAGCAAAGCCUUAGCAACUGAGCUGGGGCCUGGAAUGAACACUACUGAGAAUUUAGACCCUUGGAUUUGAGACAGGAACCGCUUCAUCUUUGAAUGUCAGUUUGCUCAUCUGUAAAAUGGGGAUGAUAAGAUGUUCCCUGUCUUCCUUUCAAAGUUGUUGUGAGGAUCAAAUAAAAUAUACAAAAGUACUCUGAAAAUGAUGAAAUCCCCAUUAAAAACAGGAGACAUGAGUUCUCCUCCUAAUUCUGCAACUAAGUGUUGACAUGGCUUUGGUCACAUUCCUUCAUCCUUCUCAGCCCUGAUUUCUUUAAACAAAGGAGGUUGGACCCGCUGCUCUCUAAGGGGUGUUCAGCCCUCACGUUUUGUACACAGAGCAGGGGCACUCCACUCUGGCAAGAGGAAAGCGGAGGUGCUGGAUCAAGUUCUUUCCUGAACAGAAUUGACAGGUCACUUAAUGCUCUUUGACUAUCUAGAGGAAGCAGCCAUUCUAGGCGAUCAAAUUCCAUACUAGAAAGCAGGCCAGAGACAAGUGCCUUGUGUUUGCUUAUUUGUUUUGUUUGUUCGGUGGGGUUUUUUUUGUUUUGUUUUUUGUUUGUUUGUUUGGGGUUUUUUUUUUGGCCAUAUCUGUGGAAUGUGGAAGUUCCUGGGGCAGGGAUCAAACCCGAGCCUCAGCAACCCAAGCCUCUGCAGUGACAAUGCCAGAUCCUUAAUUUGGUGCACCACAAGGGAACUCCCCCAAAAUGCAAUGUGAAUGGUCAGGAGCCCUGCAUUUGGUCCCCACAGAGUUUUUUUAAUAUAUAAUAAUUUUUAUUUUUUCCAUUAUAGCUGGUUUACAGCAUUCUGUCAAUUUUCCGCUGUACAGCAAGGGGACCCAGUCAUACAUACAUGUAUACAUUCUCACAUUAUCAUGCUCCAUCAUAAGUGACUAGAUAUUGUUCUCAGUGCUAUACAGCAGGAUCUCAUUGCUUAUCCAUUCCAAAGGCAAUAGUUUUCAUCUAUUAACCCUAAAUUCCCAGUCCAUCCCACUCCUUUCCCCUCACCCUUGGCAACCACAAGUCUUUUCUCCAAGUCCAUGAGUUUCUUUUCUGUGGAAAGGUUCAUUUGUGCAGUGUAUUAGAUUCCAGAUAUUAGUGAUAUCAUAUGGUAUUUGUCUUUCUCUUUCUGAUUGACUUCACUUAGGUCCCCACAGAGCUUUAAUUGGGAGUUAUAGAUGUUUAGAAACAAAACAAAGCACUCACAGAAAACUAAGAAACAGUUAGUGAUGUUUUCAGGCACCUGCUUACUCAGAAGCUGUGUUAAGCAUUUAAAGUACGGUAUCUCCUUUAGGCCUCACAACAAAUUUUCAUACUAAUUAUUAUACCUAUUUUCCAGAUAAGAGCUCACUGGGAUUCAGAGAUGUCACCUUACUUGAUGAAGGAUUUAAACUCAGGACUGUUCGGCUUCCUUGCUUUUCCUCACAUGAUGCCAAAUCCUACUGUGCCCAAACCAGAGAGAAAAGAGUUCCGAAGAAGAGCUGCAAACCCCAGGAGGUAACAGCUGUGACACUGUCCAUGACCCUCAGUCUGCACAAAACACAAGAGGGAAGAACACCAAAUCAAAGCUCCGGGGCCUUCUUGGAGACUCUAGAAACUGACCUUGGCGAGCACCAACUUCAGACGGAAAAUACACACCAUGCAACCGGUUUCUUCCGUUUUUCCAGGCUGCCGCCUUCCAAGUUCACAGUUCUGAGUUACCAGUUCCCUGGAGGGAAUUUCUAAAUUACUCAAUUCCCUUUGCCUGUACUUAUAUCCUAAUGAUAGGACAUUAAGAUGCAAAUUAAACAGAAACUUAGUAAGCAAAUCAUGCUACUUUCUAAGGGAUACAUCAAUAAAGGCUGGAGAGGCACUGCACUGUUGCCAAACCCCAAGAACUGAUUUCAAAGGCCCACCUGUGAGCCUGGGGCACACAAGGCGUCAGAAAUUCUCUCUUUCCAACCAUAGGGUCAGGGUUUUUUUUUUUUUUUUUUUCCUUCCAGUGAAUGAACUUGCUGAUAUUCUCCUUUCCUUCCAGUGGUGAUGGGGCAAGUGUGUGGGUCCCCAAGGGUACUGAGGUUCUCUGACCAUGGUUUAUAAGCUGACAAAGGGGGACAUAAUCUCCUCCUGGUAAAAUACUUCCACCGCAGAAAUGGGGCUCAAUUUCUGCUUGACAUUUUUACUGGUGCCAUUUGUCUCUUCCUUCUGUUUUCCUAUUUUUCCUCCCAACAACUGGUUAUGAUCCCCUAAAUUAAGCUCCUUUUUUGCUUGUGUUGGAGCUCAUCCAUAUAAAAAGCCACCCCAUUAAGGUCCUUGGCUUCUAAAACCAAAUUUACUUCAGUCACUAUGUCUUAGAUCAAAUGGUUAUUUACAUGAUUCAGCAAGUCUGGCUCUUAGUCAAGGACUGGUACAGGAAACAGGAGAAGCUUGAUAAAUGUUUGAUUGUGGAAUACGACAAUCCCCUAGAUUUCACCAUCAAAUUAUUACUAACAUGUCUGUGCGCCUACAAAACCAGAAGCCCUGGGCUCUAGUUAUAAUUCAGCCCAGUGUGAUCCUGGUCAACUCAUUCCCUUCUUACAGGGCCUUACUUUCUUCACCUAUAGAAUGACGAGGGUGGUGUUCCCUGAAGUUCUUUCCAGAUUAAGUUCUGUGAGGACAGGGCCCAGAUCUGUCACGCUCACUUCUGCCAAAAUCUAAAUCUGCAGAGUCUAACACAUAUCUAGACUAUAGCAGAUGCUCAGUGAAUACUGGAAGUAAAAAUUUUAAAUGCUGUGAUUCUGGCCAUUGUAAAUUGAUGCCAUUGUUAAAUUAUAAACUUGUUUUUGCUGCUAAAAACAAAACUGUUCAUGAUUAUUUUAAGUUUUUCUGAUUUUCUUCUACCUGGGACUCAAAUGCUUCUCUGCACAAUUUCUGGAAGCUUUUGAGGCCUUCCACAAACAAAACACCAUACCUACCUCCAAUCUGACUCACAGGAUUCUUAAAGUGUUUCCCAACACAUCAGAUGACUAACACAAAGACGGUAGGGUUUUACAAGGCAGCAAAGACAGCGCGCCAAAAUGAUGAAUUCAAGUCAGUGACCAUUGUACAACUAUAACUGUAAUAAAUUCAUUGAGUAAUAAAACAAAAAAGUCAAUUCAUCUAAAAAAAAAAAAAAGCACUUAUUGGAUACACAUUGAGAUGCCUGAUAUGUAAAGUGAGUUUGUGGAGGAGGUAAGUACCAGGAGAGCCAUGUCUCCAUUUCUUGGAGUUUCAAAGACCCAGGAAAUGACCGUAUGACUCACACAACUCCUGGAUCAUAUAUUUAGAGACAGCUGCAGUGUUCACCACUUUUCUGGAGGUCUUUAUCACAUUCACCAUCAGUUUAUACAAAGUUAUACAUACACCAUUCAGUUUAGCUCCUGAUCAUAACAUUGCCUGGUGCUUUUUCUCAUUUAUUUGUCUUAUCUAAGUUGGGGAUUUUUAGAACUAGGAACCAGAGAUGAGUUUCUAAAAGCAGGGCCAUGGGUGUUGAGAGUUACAUCCCAAAUUUUAUGUGUGUGGGCUUUUUUCCAAGAAAGGAUUCAUGGCUUUCAAUGGAUUUCCAAGGGGAUCUGUGACUUCAACUCAUUAGGAGCCAGGAUCAUACUUGCCAUUACCUCCCUCUCCCCCAGCGCUUAAUAUUGUACCCACACCCAGUGGGCUCCCAGCCCCCUCUGCUGCUCUGAGCUCUGGGAACGGUUGCUUUAAUUCUAAGAAGGUAUCUUUAUUGAAGAGGAGAGUCCAUGAGCCUCCUUUCACUUCUCCAACAGAGCAGCCAAGUUGAUUGUACAAAUUCCUCAAGUGAACUGAAAAGGCAUGAAAGCAAGCACCAGUUUCUCACAUCAAUUCAAAUACUGAGGAAAAAGGAACACUUUGUCUUCAGAAUACAACUGGAAUGCCUAGGACUUCUUCUUACCAGCUUUCAUGACCCGUAUGGGUGAAGGACCCUGGAUUAAAAGCCUGGGCCAGCCAAGGAAAUAGCUGCACUUGAACUAAACACUGGAUCCAACAGUUUGGGUCCAGUAUUGGGCAGGAAAAGUGGAAGGGAGAGUGUCUGCGAUAAGGGACCAAUGGCCAAGAAGAUGUGCUGAGGGCGGUCAUGCACACUUGACCUUCAAGAUGUAAAACUAGUAAAAAGUAUCUAAUUACUUAAAGCUAUAAAGAGAACUUUAAGGAGUUCAGAAGUAGCACAUCCAGAG